rfam:Rattus norvegicus chromosome 12, whole genome shotgun sequence.
GGGGCCAGCCCCAGGCCCUGAAACAAUAUUAUGGGGC